UUAAAAAGCUCGUAGUUGGAUUUCUGGUGGGGACUUUGGCCGGCCGUAACGGUUUGCGCUGAAAUGUUCUUCGCCAUCCUUGACGAAUACUGGUUCGCCAUUAAGUUGUGUGGGCUUGGAGUCGUCAUCGUUUACUGUGAAAAAAUUAGAGUGUUCAAAGCAGGCUUAUGCCGUUGAAUACAUUAGCAUGGAAUAAUAAGAUAGGACCCUGGUACUAUUUUGUUGGUUUGCGUACCUAGGUAAUGAUUAAUAGGGACAGUUGGGGGUAUUUGUAUUCCGUUGUCAGAGGUGAAAAUUCUUGGAUUUACGGAAGACAACUACUGCGAAAGCAUUUACCAAGGAUGUUU
rnacentral:rRNA from 1 species